AGUAGUUUGAUCCGUGGCUCGAGGACGAACGCUGGCGGCGCGCCUAACACAUGCAAGUCGAACGGGGUUUUAUAUCGGAAGCUUCGGCAGAAGACAUAACACCUAGUGGCGAACGGGUGAGUAACACGUGAGGAACCUGCCUUUAAGAGGGGGAUAACACUUAGAAAUAGGUGCUAAUACCGCAUAAGACCACAGAGCGGCAUCGCUCAGGGGUCAAAGGAGCAAUCCGCUUAAAGAUGGCCUCGCGUCCGAUUAGGUAGUAGGCGGGGCAACGGCCCACCUAGCCAACGAUCGGUAGCCGGACUGAGAGGUUGAUCGGCCACAUUGGGACUGAGACACGGCCCAGACUCC
rnacentral:rRNA from 1 species